rnacentral:rRNA from 1 species
AAAGAAACUAACAAGGAUUCCCCUAGUAACGGCGAGUGAAGCGGGAAGAGCUCAAAUUUAAAAUCUGGCAGGCUACGCUUGUCCGAAUUGUAAUCUCGAGAAGUGUUUUCCGCGUUGGCCUGUGUACAAGUCCCUUGGAACAGGGCGUCAUAGAGGGUGAGAAUCCCGUCCUUGACACAGACACCCAAUGCUUUGUGAUACACUCUCAAUGAGUCGAGUUGUUUGGGAAUGCAGCUCAAAAUGGGUGGUAAAUUCCAUCUAAAGCUAAAUACUGGCGAGAGACCGAUAGCGAACAAGUACCGUGAGGGAAAGAUGAAAAGCACUUUGGAAAGAGAGUCAAACAGUACGUGAAAUUGUUGAAAGGGAAACGAUUGAAGUCAGUCGUGCCUGCCUAGUCUCAGCCUUUUGGUGUACUACUAGGUCGGCAGGUCAGCAUCAGUUUGGGAGGAUUAACAAGGGAGUUAGGAAUGUGGCAACCUCGGUUGUGUUAUAGCCUAGCUUCGCAUUGAUCUUGCUGGACUGAGG